rnacentral:rRNA from 1 species
AAUCCAUAGGUUAAUGAGGCGAACCGGGGGAACUGAAACAUCUAAGUACCCCGAGGAAAAGAAAUCAACCGAGAUUCCCCCAGUAGCGGCGAGCGAACGGGGAGGAGCCCAGAGCCUGAAUCAGCAUGUGUGUUAGUGGAAGCGUCUGGAAAGGCGCGCGAUACAGGGUGACAGCCCCGUACACAAAAGCGCAUGUGCUGUGAGCUCGAUGAGUAGGGCGGGACACGUGGUAUCCUGUCUGAAUAUGGGGGGACCAUCCUCCAAGGCUAAAUACUCCUGACUGACCGAUAGUGAACCAGUACCGUGAGGGAAAGGCGAAAAGAACCCCGGCGAGGGGAGUGAAAAAGAACCUGAAACCGUGUACGUACAAGCAGUGGGAGCACAGGUUUACCUGUGUGACUGCGUACCUUUUGUAUAAUGGGUCAGCGACUUAUAUUCUGUAGCAAGGUUAACCGAAUAGGGGAGCCGGAGGGAAACCGAGUCUUAACCGGGCGUUAAGUUGCAGGGUAUAGACCCGAAACCCGGUGAUCUAGCCAUGGGCAGGUUGAAGGUUGGGUAACACUAACUGGAGGACCGAACCGACUAAUGUUGAAAAAUUAGCGGAUGACCUGUGGCUGGGGGUGAAAGGCCAAUCAAACCGGGAGAUAGCUGGUUCUCCCCGAAAGCUAUUUAGGUAGCGCCUCGUGAAUUCAUCUCCGGGGGUAGAGCACUGUUUCGGCUAGGGGGCCAUCCCGGCUUACCAACCCGAUGCAAACUGCGAAUACCGGAGAAUGUUAUCACGGGAGACACACGGCGGGUGCUAACGUCCGUCGUGAAGAGGGAAACAACCCAGACCGCCAGCUAAGGUCCCAAAGUCAUGGUUAAGUGGGAAACGAUGUGGGAAGGCCCAGACAGCCAGGAUGUUGGCUUAGAAGCAGCCAUCAUUUAAAGAAAGCGUAAUAGCUCACUGGUCGAGUCGGCCUGCGCGGAAGAUGUAACGGGGCUAAACCAUGCACCGAAGCUGCGGCAGCGACACUGUGUGUUGUUGGGUAGGGGAGCGUUCUGUAAGCCUGUGAAGGUGUGUCGUGAGGCAUGCUGGAGGUAUCAGAAGUGCGAAUGCUGACAUAAGUAACGAUAAAGCGGGUGAAAAGCCCGCUCGCCGGAAGACCAAGGGUUCCUGUCCAACGUUAAUCGGGGCAGGGUGAGUCGACCCCUAAGGCGAGGCCGAAAGGCGUAGUCGAUGGGAAACGGGUUAAUAUUCCCGUACUUGGUGUUACUGCGAAGGGGGGACGGAGAAGGCUAUGUUGGCCGGGCGACGGUUGUCCCGGUUUAAGCGUGUAGGUGUGUGUUCCAGGUAAAUCCGGUUCACUUUAACACUGAGGCGUGACGACGAGGCACUACGGUGCUGAAGCAACAAAUGCCCUGCUUCCAGGAAAAGCCUCUAAGCAUCAGGUAACAUCAAAUCGUACCCCAAACCGACACAGGUGGUCAGGUAGAGAAUACCAAGGCGCUUGAGAGAACUCGGGUGAAGGAACUAGGCAAAAUGGUGCCGUAACUUCGGGAGAAGGCACGCUGACACGUAGGUGAAGUGAUUUACUCAUGGAGCUGAAGUCAGUCGAAGAUACCAGCUGGCUGCAACUGUUUAUUAAAAACACAGCACUGUGCAAACACGAAAGUGGACGUAUACGGUGUGACGCCUGCCCGGUGCCGGAAGGUUAAUUGAUGGGGUCAGCGCAAGCGAAGCUCCUGAUCGAAGCCCCGGUAAACGGCGGCCGUAACUAUAACGGUCCUAAGGUAGCGAAAUUCCUUGUCGGGUAAGUUCCGACCUGCACGAAUGGCGUAAUGAUGGCCAGGCUGUCUCCACCCGAGACUCAGUGAAAUUGAACUCGCUGUGAAGAUGCAGUGUACCCGCGGCAAGACGGAAAGACCCCGUGAACCUUUACUAUAGCUUGACACUGAACAUUGAGCCUUGAUGUGUAGGAUAGGUGGGAGGCUUUGAAGUGUGGACGCCAGUCUGCAUGGAGCCGACCUUGAAAUACCACCCUUUAAUGUUUGAUGUUCUAACGUGGACCCGUUACCCGGGUUGCGGACAGUGUCUGGUGGGUAGUUUGACUGGGGCGGUCUCCUCCUAAAGAGUAACGGAGGAGCACGAAGGUUGGCUAAUCCUGGUCGGACAUCAGGAGGUUAGUGCAAUGGCAUAAGCCAGCUUGACUGCGAGCGUGACGGCGCGAGCAGGUGCGAAAGCAGGUCAUAGUGAUCCGGUGGUUCUGAAUGGAAGGGCCAUCGCUCAACGGAUAAAAGGUACUCCGGGGAUAACAGGCUGAUACCGCCCAAGAGUUCAUAUCGACGGCGGUGUUUGGCACCUCGAUGUCGGCUCAUCACAUCCUGGGGCUGAAGUAGGUCCCAAGGGUAUGGCUGUUCGCCAUUUAAAGUGGUACGCGAGCUGGGUUUAGAACGUCGUGAGACAGUUCGGUCCCUAUCUGCCGUGGGCGCUGGAGAACUGAGGGGGGCUGCUCCUAGUACGAGAGGACCGGAGUGGACGCAUCACUGGUGUUCGGGUUGUCAUGCCAAUGGCACUGCCCGGUAGCUAAAUGCGGAAGAGAUAAGUGCUGAAAGCAUCUAAGCACGAAACUUGCCCCGAG